AUGGAGGCCUCGGUGUUGCGUUGGAGCUCCGUCAGGGCUGCAAUGGAACUUCACCGGAGCCGUCGGCGCUGCGUUGGAGCUCCACCGGAGUUGCAAUGGAGCUUCGCCGGAGCCGUCGGCGCUGUGUUGGAGCUCCACCGGAGUUGCAAUGGAGCUUCGUCGGAGCCGUCGGCGUUGCGUUGGAGCUCCGUCCGGCUGCAAUGGUGCUUCGCCGGAGUCUUCGGCGCUGCAUUGGAGCUCCGCCGGGGCUGUAAUGGAGGUUGGCCGGAGUUGCAACGGAGCUUCGUCGGAGCAUCGGUGCUUCGUUGGAGCUGCAAUGGAGCUCACCGGACGCCCUCGGCGCUCCGUUGGAACUCCGCCGGGGCUGCGAUGGCGCCGUGUUGA
rnacentral:rRNA from 1 species